UCAGAAGCCAUCUCUGUGUCCUUCAAAGUUAAGGUUGCUGUUGCGAAAAAUCACCAAUCUCAUGCCUCCACCAUGUCCUCUACAAAAAUAGAACCGGUUCUGUUUUAUCUUCAAAGCAUGACAAAGAAAACAAUCCAAGAACCACAGCUGCAGGAACAAAUACAAAAAGCCUUAUGAAACCCAGACGUAUGUCUGUUGCAGUCAGACCUCCUCCUCCAAUUUCAGCACAGGUUUUUCAGCCUAAGAGACGGGUGUCCAUUGCUAGCUAUCGUUUAGAGCCAACCUCAAACAUGACACCUCUUCAUGGGGAGUCAUUUGUCAUGGGGAGUCCUCCGCCACAAGCAGGUUCUUGGAAGCCAAAGCACCCAACAGUUGUUGCACUGCAACGAAAAUCUCUGGUGUGGAGCCCGCUAAAGUUAAGGAGCUUUCAAAACAGGAGACCAUCUUUGGUGCCCUAUCGAUCAUCAUCAACUAAUGAGGUGCAAUAAAACUUAGUCUUCAUUUUCAUGAUAAAUAGUAGGAGUAUACUUUUUUUUUCUUGAUUCCCCUCUUCCCAUUUUUCUUACAUGAAUUUUAUCAUUUCUCCUCUGGAUAUUAAUCGCAAUUGUAUGCUACUUGCCUACUCAUUCGCGGUUGUAUGUUAUUUGCUUUCCUACAUGAGUCAACAACUCCAUUCAACAGUGAGAAACACAGAAAAAAAAACACAGGAGUUUUUCGAUGCUUUAACUCAUCUUGGCCAGUGGGACAUCCUGCUUUUUGACUAAUUUAUACAAGAUAGAGCUCUACAUCAACAAUUCAUAAGAAAUUGGCAUGCCACUCUCUCAUCAAUUAUUUAAGAUAUGAUAGAGGAGAUAAGAAAAUGAUUGCUAUUAUCGACCAUCUUCCUCUCCAGUCUCUGUCUCAACUAAAAAUAGUUUAAGCAAAAGUCAUGUUAAUUCCCAGUAAUCCAAUCAACUGCUUUCGAGUUCUCCUAAUUAUUUAAGACACUUUAAAUUUAAUUAAUUUUAUUGUUUUAAGUAUCAACAAUUAUUGUUUUUUAUCUGUUCGUAAACAAUAAUAUAACAAAGGCUAGAGUGUGAGUGGAUGAAUCGCAACCUUUCAAUAACUUCAAGCCACAAAAUCUUAAUCUAAACCAAAACGCAACAUCUUAUAUGAUUUAAGAAUCAAUCGUAAAAGGACAUGUUAGUAACGAGUUUAAGGGCAUGUUUAUUUCUACAUUUCAAAAGUGUUUUCGAAAAAGAAUUGAAUUUUUUUAAUUUUUUAUUAACUUUAAAUUAAUAUGUUUUUAGUGUUUUUAAAUUAUUUUGAUGUGCUAAUGUUAAAAAUAAUUUUUUAAAAAUAAAAAAACAUUAUUAACAUGUAUUUUUACAUGAAAAAUUAUUUGAAAAGCAAUCGCAACCUGUUAAACAUACUUAAUGUUAUUAAAGGACAUGUACAAUUAAAGCUCUUUGACGUGAUUAGCCUAAUCAGUCAUUUUAAAUAUGUGAUCAAUUCAUAAUAAUAAAAAAUGGUAUAAAACAAUGUUGAUGUAAACUUUGAUUAAAAAUCAAUAACGUUAACGUGAAACAACAAUAAGUCUUUAUAUAAACUAAAUAAUAAAGAAGUAAAGUAGAUAUAUUUCAGAAUAAAAAAAUGAUUCUAAAAAUUUAAUAGAAUAAUAUGAUCUAUGCAAGGAUGACACAAGAAAAACUAGGAUUUUAAUGUAAAAUCAUUUAUAAAUUAGUUUUGUUUUAUUGAACAUAACUCUCAAUCUAAUUAUUAAAUAAAGAUAAAAUUUUAUGAGAAAUCUUCUAACCUAUUACUUUAUUAUAAGUUAAAAUUUUAGAUCAAGUUCAGAAAAAUUGUACAAGAAUGGACAAAAAAAUAACAUGUAAACUUAUUAAUGGUAUUUUUGUAAAUAAACUAGAUGAGCUGGAAAUUUCAAUUUCUUCUUCUCCUGGGCAAUCCCUACAGAAGAAAUUGUCCUUUUUUAUAUUGUGCUUCUCACAUGUCUUGAGAAAUGGGUUAUUCUCCAUCAUUAAUUACUACUAUCUCUUAUAUCAAACACUUUUUCAUGAUCCCCCCCUCAAAGAAGUAGCUCCUCCUUGCUAGAAAAUUAAUUGUGAAUUUUGAACAUUAUCGGCUAUGUAUGGAUGCAUAUAGUGAGUUUUUUUUUUAUUUAUUCUUUUUAAAUGCAUUUGUUUUUCAUUUACAUCCAUUAAAAUUGGGUUAAUUAAAUAUUAGACUUUAUAAUUCAUUUUGGUUUGUUUUCUAUGAAGAUAUCCCGACUUCAUGACUUGAGUCACUGGUUUGGUUGGUUAACUCAGGUUGACUCGAGUGGUUUUUCAUGUUUUUUGUUAAUUAUUUUUUUUUAUAAUUUUUUUUAAUAUUAGAUUGAUUAGGAAUUGAGUUUUCAAUAUUAGAUAAUUAUCUACUAUUAACUUUAAAUUAAAAUAGGAGAGGUUUUAACUGUACCCUUCGUCACUAAGCACUAUUCAUUGAAAUAAUGAUUUGCUUCUUUUUUUCUAUGCUUUUUUUUUUCAAUCAAUGUUUUUUUUUAAUUUUAUCAUUUAAUAUUAAAUUAUUUUUUUAUUGAAUUAUUUCACUUUCAUGAUACAAAUUGCCAGUCUAACGGUUGACCGGGUUGACUCAAUUUUUUUCUUCAAUUUCAUCACUUAAUAUUGGGUUGAUCUGAAAUAUGAUUUGUUUUGUUAACUUUCUAUCGUGUUAUUUUAGCCUCAUGGCCGGAGAAUCGUGCUUAACAAGUUAACCCAAGUUGACUCAAAUAGUUUUUUAUGUUUUUUUAAUUAUUAUUUUUUUAAUUUUAUCUUUCAACACUAAGUCAAUUGGAAAUUGAUUUUUAUAUAUAAAAAAAAUAUUUGCUUUCUAUAGAGAUAUCAAGGUUGCAAGUUUUGGUAUUUUAACACUAUUCUGUCAAUGGAAAUUUUACUAACUAAUUCACCGAUGGAAUGUUUUUGUUGGUAUACCAUUCGUCGGUAAUUCCACUAUUUGUCGCUAAUUCUAUCAGAAUUUUUUUAAAAAAAACAAUGGUUUUACAAACAUUUAUGAUCUUUCAUUCAAGUAGAAAAAGAACACACUUCUAUUUUAAAAGAUUCCGGAAGACCACCAGUAUCCAUAAGGAAAUCACCAGGAAAUGACUGCUUGGCUGUGUUCAAAAAUCAAAAGGGCACACAGCAAGUCAAGCGUACGCGUACACGACGCUUUAAAGUCAAGCUAGCGUUAAACACAAUAAUGAUUGAUAUUUUAAAACCAUAAACAUUCCUUCCUGGAAACCGACCUCAACUUUUCCUCACCGACAAAAGUAAAGAAAAGGAAAGGAAGAUUGAUGACUAAUUCCGUUUUGAAUUGAGGUUGAAAUUUCUUUUUUCGUUAAAAUUUAAUUUUUUUUAGUAUUUUUAUUUAUGGAUAUUAAAAAUAAUUUUUAAUAUAUUUUCAAAUAAAAAAAACAUUUUAUAACACUAUAACAUUAAUAAACCGGCUGCCGGCUGUAAGCGCUUCAAUGUUUUAUACAAUUUGUGGGGUUUGGUUGGAGAUAAUAAUUACCGCGUAUUCCUCCAUUAAUUCAACUUUUUAAAAUAAUUAAUUACAAAAAAAUGUUGAGUCUUUGUCUGGUGAGUACUCUAUUAAAUUAUUAAUUUUCAUUCCCAACUUAUAAUUGGUUAAUUAGAUAAUCUCCAUUUGCUCAGCGUAUGUAGUAAACAAUAUAUAGUAGUUUGAUGUUAUACACAUUCCUUCCAGGAAACUGACCUCAACGUCUCUUCCAUGGCACAUUAAGGCACACAGAGGGUUAAAGAUCAACAAGCUGCCCUUGAUUAAUAACUGGUACAACUUUCUUCCUAUUCGUCCAUUAAUUUCUCUCUGUUUUGGGUUAGAUUCCACUUGUUCGGCCAUUGCUGUAGCAUCAUUCAUGCUGUUUAUAUAUGUUAUUGAGUUUUCCCUUUUAGCUCAAAAUGACUCUGUAAUUAAUUAAGAUCUCAGCUAAUUUCCCACUGGCUCCUCUCUUUAUAACUUUCAUUGCUCUUCUGUUUGAGGGAACUCUCCAAGAUUCUUGAGUGCAUGGAGACCAAACAACAGAUGGUCUUACCAGUAUUUUACCGACUUGAUCCAAGCCAUGUUCAAAAUCUGACUGGGAGCUAUGGAGAUGCACUUUGCAAGCAUGAAAGAGAUUGCAGUUCUGAAGAAGUAGAGAGUUGGAGACGUGCUUUGAAAGAAAUAGCUAAUCUCAAGGGCUGGGAUUCAAACGUCAUUAAGUAAGUUAUUAAUUUAGUUACAGCAUAUUAAACCCCAACUUAUUUAAACCAUUUUGUUCGAGAAUCAAUAUUGUGUUUGAUGUUAUGAUAAAAUUUCUUAGGUCUUAGCCUUUGUUCUUUAUUUAUUAUGCACUGCAGGGAUGAGACCAAGCUAAUUCAGGAAAUCGUUUCCGACAUUCAAAAGAAAUUGAACCAUGAGCUGUCCCUCUCAUUUGAUUCAAAACGCCUUGUUGGAAUGGCAUCACGCGUUGAAGACAUCGAAUCAUUACUAUCCUUGGGAUCAACCGGUGUGCUCAUCGUGGGAACUGGGGGAUGGGUGGUAUAGGUAAGUCAACAACGGCUGAAGUUGUGUAUCAUCGAAACUGUAGUAAAUUUGAAGGCCAUUGCUUUUUCCAAAAUGUUAGGGAAGAAAAUUCUUGGUGAAGUAUUAGAGAAGAAAGAUAUGACUAUACGCACAAAAGUGCUACCCCCGGCCAUUAAGCGAAUGCUUCAAAGAAAAAAAGUCCUCAUAGUUCUUGAUGAUGUCAAUGAACCACAAGAUUUAAAAUAUUUAGUAGGAGAGGAUGGUUUGUUUGGCCAAGGAAGUAGAAUCAUGGUGACAAGUAGAGAUAGGCAAGUGCUUUUAAAUGCAUGUGAUGAAGACAAAAUUUACGAGGUUAAAAUUUUAGAUGAAGACGAUGCACUUCGACUCUUCAGCUUACAUGCUUUUAAACAAGAUCGAUCGUCCCAUAGAAGGAUAUACAAUGAAAGGAGUGUUGAAUACUGGGAAAGUAAGGUGGCACAGCUACGAACAAAUGGUAGCGAGGACAUUAAGAAACAUUUGGAAAUGUGUUAUCAUGAAUUAAAUCAGACAGAAAAAAAAAUAUUUCUUGAUAUAGCAUGUUUCUAUGGACAUUAAGAAACAUUUGAAGGGAUGUAUAAUUUAAGAUUGCUCAAAAUCUACUACCCAUCUUUCUUAGAGAAUCCCUCGAAGGAGCAAAUUAUGAAUGGAAAGAGGGUCGGAAUCCACCUUCCACGAGGGCUUCACUUUCUUUCAAGUGAGCUAAGGUUUCUUUACUGGUAUAAUUACCCUUUGAAAUCCUUGCCAUCAAAUUUUUUUCCCUGAGAAACCUUUUCAACUUGAAAUGCCUUGUAGCCAGCUUGAACAACUUUGGAAUGAAGGCAAGGUAAAUAUGCUUUAUCACCCUUCUUUUUCAAAUAUAGGACAAUUUUGAAAUUAUUGUAACAUUUAUCUUUUCUUACAUUAAUUUUUUUUUAUUUACAACCACUAGAGCUUCCCAGAUUCGAGAGUUUCUGUACUUUUCCAUCAUCAAUUGGGUGCCUCUCUCAACUUGUUAGAUUAAACUUAUCUUCAUGUGAAAGUCUUGCUAGUCUGCCAGACAAUAUUGGCGAGUUGAGAUCUCUCAAAUCGCUUAAUUUUAAUAGUCAUUCAGGAUUAGCAAGUCUACCAGACAACACUGACGCAAUGAAAUCCCUUAAAAAACUUGAUCUUAGUGGUUGCUCAGGACUAAAAAGUCUACCAGAUAACAUUGACACAUUGAAAUCCCUUAAAAUACUUGAUUUUAAUAGUUGUUCAGGACUAGCAAAUCUACCAGACAACAUUGGCAUGUUGAAAUCUCUUAAAAACCUUGAUCUUAGAGGUUGCUCAAGGCUAGCAAGUCUCUAAAUUCUUUGGCAUGAAAGAUCGCAUGUUUCAUUCACCUUGACCAAAAUGAUUUGUUCUUUUUUCAUUUUGCUAACAGUGCUUUGUUGCUUGUAAACAGAAUAUGGACAGAGUAAUGAAGUAUCAGUUAGAGGAGACGUAUACAGCUUCGGUAUCAUGCUGCUGAUACUCAGAUAAUCAGAUAAAUGUUGAAUGAGUUUGGUGAGAUGUUAUCAGAUAAUCAGCCUGCACUUGCACAUAUAAGAUGUUUGAGGCAUAGCUAUCAAGGUUUACAUCGUUUAUUCCUCUUCCUUGCUUGCUUUAACAAAAAUAAUAUUUAUGUUAUGCGUUGAGGAAUUUAGAGCUCCACCUGGAAACAUUUAUGGGGUUAAAAAAAAUUGAUAUUUCUCUAUAAUCAGCACAAGGCGAGUUGAGAAGUAAAUUGAUUAACACAAUUAACCGAAUUGACUCUCAAACUUUUAUUUUACUCUAAUUAAGUCCCUCGUUGUAUUAAUUAAACUAAUCCAAUGUUCAAACAAGUCCCUAAAACUUAUUAAUUCUUCCACUUUUAGCCAAAUUAACUUCCAACCUUAUUACUCUUUCAUUUUAGCACCUGAUUAAGCCCAUCCAAAGUACAAUUAGGUCCUUGGAUUCUUUGAUUUUUGCCAUUUAGCCCCCAUCUUCAGCUUUCUUCUUAAUGAAGCAUCUAUCAAAAUUGGACCGCUAAACUUUACAACCUUGUCCAUGUUGGUCCUCAAAUCUUUAAUUUAUUCAGCCUUAAUCACAUUUUCAAUCUGCUUUCUAAAUUUCUUCAACAAGACCUCAAAUUAUCCAUCUACCUAUCAACUAUAAAUUAAAUAUUUGUCCAAUCAUGAUUCAAUGCUUUAUUUUUUAUUACUGUUACUUUUUUUAAUUCAGAAUUGGGUGAAGACACAGAUAGUUGCAUGCAAACUGAAAUCUUGCCGUCCUCUAUGGAAUGUGAUCUAGCAAUAGUAUGAUCAAAACUUUUAGUAGUUAUUGCAAGUUUUCCUAAAAAAAUGUUCGAUGGUUUUGUUUUUAUAAUGUGUUCUUCUCCCUCUCUCUCCCUCUAAACAGUUAGGUGGCAGCAUUAAAUCUAUUUUAACUUGGAAUUGGUCUCUUUCUUGCUGCUUAAGAAAAAUGCAAAAGGUGAAAGAAAAGAAAUAAAAACUGAUUUUGAGUGAUCAAGUUCUCGAUGGGAUCAUUGUUCCACAAGAUCAAUGCCAUUGUUCCACAAGAUCAAUGCUCUCUCUGCCACCUACAAAGCAUCAGUUCCAUAAACUGUUUUUAACAAAGGAAAGAGCAAAGAAUAUAAGCUAUCAUCUCAACAAGUUUUUCAGUGAAAAACUAAGCCUUGGUGGCACACAGGCCUUGCUCCAGAUUGAACACCAAGUCUGGAUUAAAAACUCUGAAUCAUAUGUGAAGAGAAAAGUAGUAAAUUCUUCAUUCGAAACUUCAAUCAUGGUCUAAAAAGGGUUGUUUGGAAAAAGAUUCCGGAAGACCACCAGGAAAUUACUGCUUGGAUGUGUUCAAAAAUCAAAAGGGCACACAGCAAGUCAAGCGUCCUGUAAAAAUGAUUGCUACUUGGCGGUGAGGAAAAGUUGCUACUAUCAACUUUUCCUCACCGCUAAGUAAAGAAAAAGAAAAAGAAGAUAGAUGACUAAUCUUUUGGAAUUGAGGUUGAUUUUUGUUAAUUUUUGUUAAAAUUUGGAUUUGUUUAGUAUUGUUAAAAUUUAGAUUUGUUUAGUGUUUUUGAAUUAUGUCAAAAUAUUUUUAAAAAAUAAAAAAAAUAUUAUAUUAAUAUAUUUUUUAAAUAAACACUUUAAAAAUCAAACUUUAAAUGAUUCCGGAAUUUCCCUGGCUAAUUGUGGCUUACUUAAUGGGUUGUGAAAAUCUUUUUUGAAGAAAGGUUUAUGAGAUAUUGAGUUGUCAAGGACUGUUUCUGAAUUUGUACCUACCGAUAUACAGAUUCCAAGAAACCCUCCAAUACUGUGUUUGAAAUAAAGAUGAUGAGAGGAUCAAUGUGAACUCCCCCCCUUAAUUGUGAGUUGGCUAUAGCAUCGUUUAAGUUGUUUUGAUCUUCUCUUAUUGUCUGAUCAUUCUAAUACACUCUUGUUUGAUCAUAUUUAGCCUUUAUUUAUGGGAUAUAAAAUACUCUCCCAACUAGCUUCUCUCUUUAUUUAUCAGGUGUAAUUAAGAUCUCAACUAGCUAGUCUUUGAAUAAUUAUAUCGUUUGUUUUCUUAUUGCUUGUUACAGGGAAAAAUUAUCACAAGUAGAAAGCUUACUUCUACAUAUAUCAAGCAUAUAAAAAUAUGGCUUCCACUUCUUCUCCCACUACUCCAUAUUUGAAGCUUGAUGUGUUCCUCAGUUUUAGAGGCACAGACACCCGCAAUAGUUUCACCAGUCAUCUUUAUGAUGCUUUGGAUCGAAACCAAAUUGAUGCUUACAUCGAUAAUAAACUUGAUGGAGGAGAAAAGAUCGAGCCUGCCCUCUUGGAAAGGAUUGAAGAGUCAUGUAUUUCGCUAGUCAUUUUCUCUGAAAAUUAUGCAGAUUCUACUUUCUGUUUGAGGGAACUCUCCAAGAUUCUUGAGUGCAUGGAGACCAAACAACAGGUGGUGUUACCAGUUUUUUACCGACUUGAUCCAAGCAAUGUUCAAAAUCUGACUGGGAGCUAUGGAGAUGCACUUUGCAAGCAUGAAAGAGAUUGCAGUUCUCAAGAAGUAGAGAGUUGGAGACGUGCUUUGAAAGAAAUAGCUAAUCUCAAGGGCUGGGAUUCAAACGUCAUUAAGUAAGUUAUUAAUUUAGUUACAGCAUAUUAAACCCCAACUUAUUUAAACCAUUUUGUUCGAGAAUCAAUAUCGUGUUUGAUGUUAUGAUAAAAUUUCUUAGGUUAUGACAGCAUGUCUUUGUUCUUUAUUUACUAUGCACUGCAGGGAUGAGACCAAGCUAAUUCAGGAAAUCGUUACUGACAUUCAAAAGAAAUUGAACCAUGAGCUGUCACCCUCAUUUGAUUCAAAACGCCUUGUUGGAAUGAAAUCACGCGUUGAAGACAUCGAAUCAUUACUAUCCUUUGGAUCAACCGGUGUGCUCAUCGUGGGAAUCUGGGGGAUGGGUGGUAUAGGUAAGUCCACAACUGCUGAAACUGUGUAUCAUCGAAACUGUAGUAAAUUUGAAGGCCAUUGCUGUUUCCAAGAUGUUAGGGAAGAAUCACGGAAGCAUGGAGUAGAUCAUGUACGACAGGAAAUUCUUGGCAAGGUAUUAGAGAAGAAUGAUCUCAAAAUACACGGAAAAGUGCUACCCUCGGCCAUUAAGCGAAUGCUUCAAAGAAAAAAAGUCCUCAUAGUUCUUGAUGAUGUCAAUGAUCCACAACAUUUAAAAUAUUUAGUAGGAGAGGAUGGUUUGUUUGGCCAAGGAAGUAGAAUCAUGGUGACAAGUAGAGAUAGGCGAGUUCUUGAAAAUGCAUGUGAUGAAGACAGAAUUUACGAGGUUAAAAUUUUAGAUGAAGACGAUGCACUUCGACUCUUUAGCCUACAUGCUUUUAAACAAGAUCGUCCCAUAGAAGAAUAUAUUGGGCUAUCAAAAACUGUGGUAAGCUGUGUUAAGGGCAUUCCAUUAGUUCUCGAGGUUUUAGGUAGCAGUCUAUACAAAAAGACUGGUGUUGAAUACUGGGAAAGUAAGGUGGCACAGCUAAGAACAAAUGGUGGCGAGGACAUUAAGAAACAUUUGGAAAUGUGCUAUCAUGAAUUAGAUCAGACAGAAAAGAAAAUAUUUCUUGAUAUAGCAUGUUUCUUUGGACGGUGCAAGAAGGAUUUUCUCCAGCAAACACUAGAUCUUGAAGAAAGAAGUGGGAUAGAUCGUCUCGCUGAUAUGUGUCUCAUAAAAAUUGUUCAAGACAAGAUCAAGAUGCAUGAUGUGCUCCUAAAACUAGGGAAAAAAAUUGUCCUCCAAGAAAACGUUGACCCUAGAGAACGUAGCAGGUUGUGGGAGGCUGAUGAUAUCUAUCGUGUAUUAACAACUCAGGUAACGUUUCCAAGUGAUUUAAUUGGCUGUUUCUUGACUUUCUUGUUUAUAGCUAAGAGAUGUAGCCUUGAACAAGAAUAAAUAUCAAGGCCAGCUUCUUCUUUCUUCUUCUUUAUUUGUUAUAUAUAUACUGAUUUACAGUUUGCUUUAAUUUGUUAAAUAGGGGACUGGAUCAAAAGUGGAAAGCAUAUCCCUCAUCUUGGAUGCAACUAAAGAUCAAUUGACAUUAACUCCUACAGCAUUUGAAGGGAUGUAUAAUUUAAGAUUGCUCAAAAUCUACAACCCACCUUUCUUAAAGGAUCCCUCAAAGGAGCAAAUUAUGAAUGGAAAGAGGGUCGGAAUCCACCUUCCACGAGGGCUUCACUUUCUGUCAAGUGAGCUAAGGUUUCUCUAUUGGUAUAAUUACCCUUUGAAAUCCUUUCCAUCAAUUUUUUUCCCUGAGAAACUUGUUCAACUUGAAAUGCCUUGUAGCCAGCUUGAACAACUUUGGAAUGAAGGCCAGGUAUGCUUUAUCAUCCUUCUUUUUCGAAUAUAGGACAUUUUUGAAAUUAUUCAUAACGCUUAUCUUUUCUUACAUUGCCUCUUUUUUUAUUUACAGCCACUUGAGCAGUUGAAAUCUCUUAAAUCACUUAAUCUUCAUGGUUGCUCAAGACUAGCAAGUCUACCACAUAGUAUUGGCAUGUUGAAAUCUCUUGACCAGCUUGAUCUUAGUGGUUGCUCAAGUCUAACAAGUCUACCGAAAAACAUUGACGCGUUAAAAUCUCUAAAAUUGCUUAAUCUUAGUGGUUGCUCAAGACUAGCAAGUCUACCAAAUAGUAUUGGCGUGUUGAAAUCUCUUGACCAGCUUGAUCUUAGUGGUUGCUCAAGACUAGCAAGUCUACCAGACAGUAUUGGCGCAUUGAAAUCUCUUAAAUCACUUAAUCUUAGUGGUUUCUCAAGACUAGCAAGUCUACCAAAAAGCAUUGGCAUGUUGAAAUCUCUUGACCAAUUUGAUCUUAGUGAUUGCUCACGACUAGCAAGUCUACUAGAAAGCAUUGGCGCGUUCAAAUCUCUUAAAUCACUUAAUCUUAGUGGUUGCUCAAGACUAGCAAGUCUACCAAAUAGCAUUGGCAUGUUGAAAUCUCUUAAAUUGCUUAAACUUCAUGGUUGCUCAGGACUAGCAAGUUUACCAGACAACAUUGGCGAGUUGAAAUCUCUUACAUCGUUUAAUCUUAGUGGUUGCUCAGGACUAGCAAGUCUACCUGACAGCAUUGGGGUGUUGAAAUGUCUUGCUAAACUUCACCUUACUGGUUGCUCAGGACUCGCAAGUUUACCAGACAGCAUUGACAAAUUGAAAUGUCUUGAUACGCUUCAUCUUAGUGGUUGCUCAAGACUAGCAAUUCUACCCAACAACAUUGGCGCAUUGAAAUCUCUUUACCAGCUUCAUCUUAGUGGUUGCUCAAGACUAGAAAGUCUACCCGACAGCAUUGGAGGGUUGGAAUGUCUUGCUAAGCUUCACCUUACUGGUUGCUCAGGACUAACAAGUCUACCAGACAGCAUUGACAGGUUGAAAUGUCUUGAUACACUUCAUCUUAGUGGUUGCUCAGGACUAGCAAAUCUACCAAACAAUAUUAACAGUUUGAACUAUCUUAUUGUGCUUAAUCUUUGUGGUUUCUCAAGACUAGCAAGUCUACCAAACAACAUUGGCGAGUUGAAAUCUCUUAAAUUGCUUUAUCUUAGUGGUUGCUCAAGACUAGCAAGUCUACCAGAUAGAAUUGAUGAGUUGAAAUCUCUUAAAUCGCUUAAUCUUAAUGGUUGCUCACUAGCAAAGUCUACCAGACAGAAUUGGCGAGUUGAAAUCUCUUGAAUGGCUUAAUCUUCAUGAUUGCUCAGGACUAACAAGUCUACCAGAUAGAAUUGUCGAGUUGAAAUCUCUUAAAUCCCUUAAUCUUAAUGGAUGCUCAAGACUAGAAAGUCUACCAGACAACAUUGGCGAGUUGAGAUGUCUUACUAUGCUUAAUCUUAGUGGUUGCUUAAAACUAACAAGUCUACCCAAUAGCAUUGGUACGUUGAAAAGGCUUUAUGCGCUUCACCUUACUGGUUGCUCAGGACUAGAAAGUCUACCAGACAGCAUUGACGAGUUGAGAUGUCUUACUACGCUCGAUCUUAGUGGUUGCUUAAAACUAGCGAGUCUUCCAAACAACAUCAUUGAUCUUGAAUUUAAAGGACUUGACAAACAGCAUUGUUAUAUGUUGAGUGGAUUCCAGAAAGUAGAAGAAAUUGCAUCAUCCACCUAUAAAUUAGGCUGCCAUGAAUUUUUAAAUUUGGGAAAUUCUCGUGUGUUAAAAACUCCAGAGAGAUUAGGCUCUUUGGUGUGGCUAACAGAAUUAAGAUUAUCUGGGAUUGAUUUUGAGAGGAUACCUGCCAGCAUCAAGCACCUUACUAAGCUAAGUAAACUCUAUUUAGAUGAUUGCAAGCGGCUUCGAUGUUUACCAGAGCUUUCAUCGACUCUACAAGUUUUAAUCGCAUCAGGUUGUAUCUCUCUAAAAUCUGUAGCAAGUAUAUUCAUGCAAGGUGAUAGAGAAUAUGAUGCUGCUUCUCAGGAAUUCAAUUUCUCUGGAUGCCUCCAACUAGAUCAAAAUUCACGCACUAGAAUUAUGAGUGCUACCCGUUUACGAAUUCAACGCAUGGCAACAUCAUUGUUUUCUCAAGUGAAUUCUUCCUCCCUUGAUCUUGAUUUAUUUAAAAAAAAUCAUGAUAAUUUUUUAUAUGUAUCUCACAUUCUCACUCUCUUCGGUGCAGGAAUAUCAUGGUAAGCCCAUUAGAGUUCGGUUGUGUAUUCCUGGGUCGGAAGUCCCGGAGUGGUUUAGUUAUAAGAAUAGAGAAGGAUCGUCAGUAAAAAUCCGGCAACUAGCUCAUUGGUAUCGUCGUUUCACUUUAUGCGCUGUUGUUUCAUUUGGCCAAAGCGGGGAAAGGCGUCCCGUUAAUAUUAAAUGUGAAUGCCAUUUGAUAAGCAAAGAUGGAACCCAGAUUGAUCUCAGUUCCUACUUCUAUGAAAUAUAUGAAGAAAAGGUGAGGAGUUUAUGGGAAAGGGAGCAUGUGUUCAUUUGGAGUGUCCACUCUAAGUGCUUUUUCAAGGAGGCCUCGUUUCAAUUCAAAUCACCGUGGGGAGCUACUGAUGUGGUGGUUGGGUGUGGAGUCCAUCCAAUGUUGGUCAACGAGCCUGAGCAACCAAUCCCUAAAACUGAUGGAAAAUGCUUGACAAACUCUUAAUCAUCUUCUAUUUGAAAGGGCAACGUGAUGCUAUGGAUGCAUGGUUUCGCUCGUUGACACUGGUAACUCAUGAUCUUCUCCUUUCUUUUUCUAUACAAAUAUGAGGCAACUCAAUUGGAUUGAAUCAAACAUGAAACCAAAUACUCUUAUGAAUUAGAGAUGAAAAGGAUAUAUUUAUCCUCCUACUUUAACAUGAUUCUUAACCAGGUCCCCGAACAAACAAAAUAAUAAUUAUAAAAAAAAAUUAAAUUAAGUUUUGACUCGGGUUAUUUUUUGUUUUUUUAAUAGAUUUUUUCUCAACUUCAUCUUUCAACAUUGAGUUGAUUAAAAAUUUAAAUUUAUGUAUUUUUUAUUGGCUUUCUACUGGGUUAUUGUAGUCUCAAGACCCGGGUCACAAGUUUGCGGGUUAGCAAGGUUGGCUUGAGUUUUUUUUUUUUUUUUUAAUUGAAUUUUUUUUUUCAUUUUCAUCCUUCAACAUUGGGUUGAUUGAAAAUUUGACUUAAUAUUUUAUUUUAUUUUAUUCUAUAUAUUUAUCUUGGUCUCAUAAUCCGAGUUUGGCAAGUUAACUUAAGUUGACUCAAGAUGUUUUUUUAAUUGAUUCUUUUCAAUUGAAUCCUUUAACAUUUGGUUGAUUGAAAAUUGUGCUUUGAAAUUUUUUUUCUAUAGGAUUAUCAUGGUCUCAUGACCCGGGUCGAUGGUUAGCUCGAUUGCCUCAAGUUUUUUUGUGUUCUUUUUAAAUGCAUAUGUUUUUCAAUUUCAUCCAUUAAUAUUGGGUUAAUUGAGAAUUAGGCUUCAUAAUUUAUUUUAGUUUGCUUUCUAUGAAGAUAUCCCGAUAACAUGACUCGGGUCACAGGUUUCGUUUGUUAACUCGGUUUGUUUUUUCGUGUUUCUUGUUAAUUGUUUUUUUUAACAAUUUUAUUCUUCAACAUUAGGCUGAUUGUGAAUUCAGUUUCCUUAUUUUGAUCUGACGAGCAUUGUAGCACGGGAAAUUAUCUAGUAUUAACCAUAAAAUAAAAGAGGAGAGGUUUUUAUUGUACCUCUCCUCACAAAGCACUAUUCAUUGGACUAAUGAUUUGCUUUUUUUUUUCUUUGCUUUUUUUUUUCAAUCAAUGUUUUUUUUUUAGUUUUAUCCUUCAAUUUUAAAUUUAUUUUUUUAUAAAGUUAUCUCACUCUCAUAACAAAAAUCGCUAGUUUGAUACAUGUCAAAUCAUGUUGACCAGGGUAAAAAUGAGUUUCAAACCGUUUUGGGUCAAAACUAUCAUUUUCAAUCAAAUUAGGUUUAUUGAGAUAACUUUUACACAAUUUAAUUUUAAAUCAAAAUCAGACAAGAAGUUAGGUUUGAAGGUUUUUUUUUCUUAAUUUUAUUUUUUUUAAUUUUAUCCUUAUAUUUUUUUACAGGAUAACGGGGAUGCCUUUGAACUUUAAUUUUAAACUUAGGUUAGGUAAAAAGUCAGAUUAAGAAAAUUUUAAAUUGAAUCAUUAGGCUGAAUUUAAUAAAAAUAUCAAGUAGUUCUCAACGACUUGAAUACUUUUUAUUAUAUUAAAAAAUAAUUAUACAGCCUCCAGCAAACUAAUAAAUAAUAUUUAGAAGACUUCGGAGUAAUUUAUAAGUAAUUAAAGUAGAAAUAGAAAAACAAAACAAAAAAAAUCUAAAUGGGCUUCGAUCUGUUACCAAUCAGACCAUACCAGUACAUAACCCAAAACCAAAGGCCGAAUUCAUUCUAUCUAUCCAAGCCGAAGGCCCAACUCUACCAUUUCAAAUUAAAACGCUCCGUCCCUCCCAAUCCCAAACCUAAACAAACAACAUCAUAUAGCCGUUAGAAACCAACAGCUCCCAUUUCAAGCUUCAAAUUCCCAAUUUUAAACCCUAAAAAUCUUUCACCUUUCUAAUUUUCUCCCUCUCUCAAUUUCAAGCCCUAAAACAUGAACGGUACUCCCAUCUAUUUCUCUGUAUCGAUCGAUACGCAUAAAUUGAAUUAUUUUAUUUUAUUUUUAUGGUUCUUGUUUUAUAGAUCGAAAUUGUUUGAUUUCUCUCAGAUCUGACAGUCCAAAUGAUUGAAGAGAUAUGCGAUCGUUCAAGACCGUUCAAAUUUCCGAUUCCAGCCCUUCUCUCUCUUCGACCACAGGUUAGAAGAAGUAGCUUCACUUUGUUUAAUUAAUAUUUCUCUGAAAUUGAUUUUUUAAAAAAAUUUCAGUUGAAUCUGUAGAAGAUAAGAAAUUCGAUACAGGUUCUUGUUUUUAUAAAAAUAUAUAUAUUAGAAAUUAUUUGUUUAAGUACUGAUUAUCAGUUUAUUUUUUUAUAUUUUUUGCUUCUGCUUAGACUUAGAAAUUGUAAUUUUGAAUUAUUUAAUUUUAUUUGUUAUUGAAUUUAAUUGUUUAUUUAUCUUUUUAAUUCUAGGGUUUCUAAAAUUUUUAAAGUCGUUUUUAAUCAAGAGAAAAAAAGAGAGUUAAAUUGAGUCAAAUUCGGUGCUGUAGAACUGUAGACAUUUGUAUUUUAUAUUGAAAUUGUUUUGACUGAAAAAGGUUAUUUUGAUUUUAAUGAGUUUUCAGGAGAAACUAUUAAUUCGGAGGAGGAGAGCGUAUCAAAUAGAAUUCGACAAGUUUACCCAUCUCAGGGGCCAACACCGCCCAUUUUGCAGAAAAUUAUCAAUUUAAGUGAUAAAAUUCAGGUACUUAUUUUGAACUUUGGUGUUGUUGGGUAUCGUAUAGAUGACUUGAAAAGACUUGGUUUUAGUUGUAGAAUUCAGGCAAUUUUAAAUUUCAUUGUUUUAGCUAGUAAAUUAGGAUUUUGCAUUAUUAUGUUGAUGGGGGUAUUGAUUUGUUUUCUUUCUUUGAAUUUAAUUGUUGUUGUUUCAGAAUUUGAAGAAAGAACACUCAAAUCUCUCUAAUCAAGUAAAGACUGCCAAGGAUUCCUUUCUUGGCCCCAAUAUUUUAGACACCCUUCAAAAACUCGGUGAGUAUCCAAUAGUGAAACUAAUUUAUUUCUUCUUUUCAUUUUUUAUUUUUUUUUGAGGGGUUUGGUUUGAUAGUUUACUAGUUGAAAUAUUGGUCAGGUAAUGAAUAUGAACUUCUUAAAAAGAAGUAUCUACAAGAGUUGUCUGAGAGGAAGAGGCUUUACAAUGAGGUGAUCGAGCUUAAAGGGAAUAUUAGGGUCUUCUGUAGAUGCAGACCACUAAAUCAAGUCGAAAUAACAAAUGGUUCGAACUAUGUAGUUGAAUUUGACUCUUCCCAAGAUAAUGAGUUGCAGAUCAUUUCCUCUGAUUCUUCCAAAAAGCAAUUUAAGUUCGACCAUGUUUUUGGGCCUGAGGAUAAUCAAGGUGAUCUGAUGUUUUAUUUUAUGUAUUGCUACUGCAGCCAUCCUGUUAAAGAUUAUUUGUGCAAUUGAAGCAUCUAAUCCUUUGUCUCUAUGAUAUGCAGAGGCUGUUUUUGCACAAACUAAACCAAUAGUCGCUUCAGUUUUGGAUGGCUACAAUGUCUGCAUAUUCGCCUAUGGACAAACUGGAACUGGAAAGACGUUUACUAUUGAGGGCAGCCCAGAAAAUAGGGGAGUGAACUACAGAACAUUAGAUGAGUUGUUCCGAGUUUCUCAAGAGAGAAGUGGCAUUAUGAGAUAUGGUCUUUUUGUUAGUAUGAUGGAGGUUUACAAUGAGAAGAUAAGGGACCUCUUGAUUGAUAGUUCCAACCAACCGCCUAAAAAGUUAGUUUCCUCUUUUAUUGCUACUGUAUUGAUCUGAUAAUCAAAAUAUAGUCAUUUAUGUUGAAUUUUUUGGUUGCGAAAAUUUUAUAUUAAUAAUUUUCUGUAGCUCUGAUUUAUAUCAUUUUGCUACUAGAUGAUAAUUAACUAUUGGUUAGUACAAACAUCAUGCGUGUGGCUAUUUGACAAGAAAAGUGGAACAUGGAAGUUCUGUAUUAGCCCAAUUUUCAUUUGAGCACUCUAUCUGCAAAUGAUAAUAAAUUCCUUGCUCCUCUCUAGUGUAGAUAAGCAUGACAUCUAAUUGGGUUUAGGGUUUAAAAGAUUAUGUACAAGACUCCUAUUUGGAAGCCCAUUGGUAUGAAAGAUUUAAAGUCUAACGAUAAGAAAUUGAGUUACAUGAAUGAAGUUUGAUGAAAUUUUAGUUUUUCUUACAUGCAUAAAGGUUGGAGAUAAAACAAACAGCUGAAGGAACACAAGAAGUCCCAGGACUUGUUGAAACUCGGGUGACUGUCACAGAGGAUGUGUGGGAUUUACUCAAGUCUGGAAGUCGGGCCAGGUCUGUUGGAUCAACCAGCGCUAAUGAGCUUAGCAGCCGUUCUCAUUGGUAAAAAUGAACUCUGCUUUCUUUUCUUGGUUUAUUCUUUCUAAGAAUAUACUUUAUGGAUCACAUAUAAUAGCAAAUUAACUAGUUUUUUGUAUCUGUGAAUUAACUAUUCAAGAAAUAUACUGAUUAAUUGAAGUGGUAGUACUAAUGACCACAACAUUGUUGGUCCGUAAUUUGUUGCGAGUAACAGUGAAAGGAGAGAAUUUAAUAGAUGGACAAAAGACAAGAAGUCACCUAUGGAUGGUCGAUUUGGCUGGUAGUGAACGUGUGGGAAAGAUUGAUGUUGAAGGUAAAAGAUUGAAGGAAUCGCAAUUCAUUAAUAAAUCUCUUUCAGCACUUGGUGAUGUUAUAUCUGCCCUCGCAUCUAAAACUGGCCACAUUCCUUACAGGUCUUUCUCUCACACAGUCACUCUUGUAAAAUGCUAUCCAAUUACCAUAUUAAUGAAGAUAUCUGUUUUCUUCCGAUCAGGAACUCAAAGCUAACCCAUAUGCUACAGAGCUCUCUCGGUGAGUAUUAAGUUUACUAUUUUUUAUGGUUGCUAGUCACUCUUAUUGUCUUGUUUGUCAGUAAAUGACGCUAAGUGAAACAUGAAUGCAGGAGGAGAUUGUAAGACCUUGAUGUUUGUCCAAAUAAGUCCAAGUGCUACUGACCUUGGAGAGACGCUUUGUUCACUAAAUUUUGCGAGUCGAGUGCGAGGAAUUGAAAGUGGUCCUGCCCGCAAACAGGCUGAUCUCACUGAACUUUUCAAAUACAAGCAAAUGGUAUACAUAUACUGCUAGUAUUUGAUGAAAUUUCUUUUGUCUCAGUUUCUUUUAUCUUGAUUCACAUUUUCUUUCCUUCUUUCUUUCCUUUUUUAAUUACAAAUAAUCAGGUAGAAAAGUUAAAGCAUGAUGAGAAGGAAACAAAGAAGUUGCAGGAUAGCUUUCAAUCAUUGCAAUUGAGGCUUGCUGCUAGAGAACAUAUCUGCAGAACUCUCCAAGAAAAGGUAAUUAUGAUGGCUUGAGCUCCAUUUAAUGCUUUUUUAUUUAUUUAUUAUUACUAUGAAACAUGUGGAAAAUUUAUUGGAGCUGUUUUUUCGUUUUUCUUUUGCUUUUAUUGUCCCUUAAAUGGCAUUUUUAAGUCAUUUUGUAGACUAACAAAUAACUUUUCUUACAAUAGGUUCGAGAGCUUGAGAAUCAGUUAGGUGAGGAAAGAAAAACUAGACUAAAGCAGGAAACACGAGCCUUCGCCGCUGAUGCUUCUCAGUCUACGAAACAAGUAGUAGAGAACAGAAAAGUAGAUAAGAAGCCACCUCUGUGUCCUUCAAAGUUGAGGAUGCCGUUGCGAAAAAUCACCAAUUUCAUGCCUCCGCCACCUCUACAAAAACAGAAAACUGGUUCUGUUUUAUCUUCAAUACAUGACAAAGAAAACAAUCCAAGAACCACAAAUGCAGGAGCAAAUACAAAAAGCCUUAUGAAACCCAGACGUAUGUCUGCUGCAGUCAGACCUCCUCCUCCAAUGUCAGCACAGGUUUUUCAGCCUAAGAGACGGGUAUCCAUUGCUACCUAUCGUUCAGAGCCAACCUCAAACAUGACUACACCACUUCAAACCUCGCGAUAUAAAAAUGGGAAUGUAGUUGGCAGGCAGUCAUUUGUCAGGGACACAAGAAAGCCAAGGAAUUCAAAGCUGUUCUCUCCAUUGCCAGAGUUCAGGACUGC
rnacentral:lncRNA from 1 species